rnacentral:rRNA from 1 species
UACAGAGGUCUCAAGCGUUGUUCGGAAUUCUGGGCGUAAAGGGUGCGUAGGCGGCGCGGUAAGUCGGGUGUGAAAUUUCGAGGCUUAACUUCGAAACUGCAUUCGAUACUGCCGUGCUUGAGGACUGGAGAGGAGACUGGAAUUUACGGUGUAGCGGUGAAAUGCGUAGAUAUCGUAAGGAAGACCAGUGGCGAAGGCGGGUCUCUGGACAGUUCCUGACGCUGAGGCAC